rnacentral:rRNA from 1 species
CAAUAGCGUAUAUUUAAGUUGCUGCAGUUAAAAAGCUCGUAGUUGGAUUUCGGGUGGGAAUGGCCGGUCCGCCGUUUCGGUGUGCACUUGCUACGCCCACCUUGCUGCCGGGGACGUGCUCUUGAGUUCACGCUCGGGACACGGAGUCGGCGAGGUUACUUUGAGUAAAUUAGAGUGUUCAAAGCAAGCCUACGCUCUGAAUAUAUUAGCAUGGAAUAACACGAUAGGACUCUGGCUUAUCUUGUUGGUCUGUGAGACCAGAGUAAUGAUUAAGAGGGACAGUCGGGGACAUUCGUAUUUCAUUGUCAGAGGUGAAAUUCUUGGAUUUAUGAAAGACGAACUACUGCGAAAGCAUUUGCCAAGGAUGUUUUCAUUAA